UUCUUCUCCAGGGAAUCUUCCUGACUAAGGGAUCGAGGGUGCAUCUCCUGUGUUGGCAGGUGGAUUCUUUACUACUGAGCCACCAGGGAAGCCAAAAGUUUGGAUAUGAGAUGUUUAUUAAAGAUAAAUGUGAAGCACAGGAUUGGGCCUAGAGGAGCCACCAGCUGAAAGCUGUUGACCACACUGCCUCCAGCUGGGCAACAAGGCCUUCCUAAAAGGGCGGUGUGGCGGCAGCUUUCCAAGUGAACCACAGUUACCAGUCAACAGCACUGAGUUGGCAAGUAGUGAAACGUUGCUCCUGGGGAAAUACAGGGCCUAGGUUCCUGUGAGCCUCUGAUCACAACAUUGUCACCAAUAGAUCAAUACGUGACCUCGUUUGAUGUGAGUUUCUUUUUUAAGGCAACUUUUAGAAUAUAUAUUAUUGAUUCCUAGCGGUUGAACUCAUGGUCAACAAGACUACAACUCAGGCCUGAGCGAAGCUUAAUCUAACACACGUGUUUCCUGUUUUCUACGAAAGGCUCAUUACGGCCUUCUAGUACUCAGAAACACAAGUCCAGCUUCAGAAUUGAGCCUGGGGGCCAUUUUAAAACAGCAAAACCACCAACGAGAAGCACAAAAUAUAGCACUAAAUAGAGCUUGAAAAGGACACAUUUGCAGGGUGUGAACUGAAAAAAGAAGUCAUCAAGUCACCUGUCCAGUCUCAGCUGAGAACUUGCGGGUCCAGCAAUACAAUUUUUUGCUCCUCUGCACAUCUGCAAAUGACUGUGGAAGCAUUGAUAUCCUUCUCUCCUCAGGUUUCUACAGGAAUCAUUCAUUUGUUCCAGGAUCUCUGGACUAAGAAGAAAUUCUCUUCCACAUUCCACUCAGCAUAAGCUAUGCUUAUCCUUUACUUGCUAAUAAAACAGCAGCUUGUGUUUAAUGUGGAUUGAUUCAAAUAAGAGAAUUCAGCGACUUUCCAAACCCACCAACUUCUUCCUGUGUGGUUAAACGUUCCCAUAUUUGGUGAAAAUGGAGAAAGGAAAUAACAAAGGAUUGGAUAUUAUCCUAAAAGCUAUUUGUUUACUUUAAAAGUCUUAAUAAAAAGAUUUCUCCAAUUUAUUUUUCAUAACUUCGUAGGAAGCAAGAACAAUUUCUGAGAAAGAACUGGUUUUUAGACCAAAAUGUCAUUUAAUCUCCAAGUAUACUGUAUAUUACUUUAAAGUGCUACCUGGGGUUUGUAAUCUAAGAUGUCCAGCAUCGAUAACAUUGCAAAGAUUCUCUGAUAAUCAUGAGGAUGCAGGUUUAUUUCCUUCAGUGGGGUGUCCGUUAAAAGCAUACAAACUUUUUAACUGGCCUCCAGCCUCUGUGCCAUGUGAUCUACCUGCAUUUUUCCAUAAUUUGUGAGCACCAGCUGAGGUUUUUUAAUAGUUGAAGCUAAUAUUUGUUAAUUCAAAGUGGAGGUGAUUUAAACCAAACCAAAGAUAGCAUGUAUAUAUAUUUUUUAACAGUGAACCUAUGUUGGGACCUUUGUUCUGUUUUCUUCUUCUUUGUGCUUUUCUUGUUUUUGUAAAAAAAAAAAAUGUCAGCUUUAUUAAGGUAUAAUUGACAAAUUAUAAGGUAUUUAAGUGUACAUGUGAUGAUUUGAUACAUGUUAUGAGAGAAUUCUCCCCAUCUAGUUAAUUAACACAUCCAUCACCUCACAUAUUUAUCCUUUUUUUUUUUUUAAAGAGAACAUUUAAGUACUGCACUCAGCAAAAUUCAGUUAUACAAUACAGUGUUGUCAACUAUAGUCACCAUGUUUGAAGUUAGAUCCUCAGACCUUGUUCAUCACACAUCUGAAACUUUGUACCCUUUUUAUCAACAUCUCUCUAUUCCCCAACCCCCCAGCCUCUGGCAACCACUGUUUUACUCUGUCUAGGAGUUAGUUUUUGUGUGUGUGUUUUUUUAAGAUUCCAGGUAUAAGUGAUACUUUGGAGUAUUUGUCUUUCUCUUUCUGCCUUAUUUCACUUAGCAUAAUACCCUCAAGAUCCAUUCACAAAUGGCAUGAUUUCUUUCUUUCUGAGAGCUGGAUAAUAUGUUACAUCUCUAUCCAUUCAUCUGUCUGGACAUUUAGGUUGCUUCCAUGUCUUGGCUAUUGUAAAUAGUGCUGCUAUGAACAUGGGGCUGUAGUUAUCUCAUUUGAUACCCUGUUUUCAUCCCCUUUAAAUAUAUACUCACAGUUGGAAUUACGGAAUCAUAUGGUAAUUAUAUUUUUAAUUUUUCUGAAGAACCUCACUAUUGUUUUCCACAGUGACUGAACCAUUUUACAUUCUUACUAACACUGCACAAGGGUUCCCUUUUCUCCACAGCCUCGCCAAUACUACUAUCUCUUGUCUAUUUGGUGACAGCCAGUCUAACAGUUUGGAGAAGGCAGUGGCACCCCACUCCAGUACUGCCUGGAAAAUCCCAUGGACGGAGGAGCCUGGUAGGCUGCAGUCCAUGGAGUUGCUAAGAGUUGGACGCAACUGAGCGACUUCACUUUCACUUUUCACUUUCCUGCAUUGGAGAAGGAAAUGGCAACCCACUCCAGCGUUCUUGCCUGGAGAAUCCCAGGGACGGGGGAGCCUGGUGGGCUGCCAUCUAUGGGGUUGCACAGAGUCGGACACGAAUGAAGUAACUUAGCAGCAAUCUAACAGUUGUGAGGAGAUAACUAGUUGUGGGUUUGACUUGCAUUUCCCUGAUUAGUGAUGUUGAGCCCCAUUUCGUGUACUCAUUAGCCAUUUGUCUUCUUUAGGAAAGUCUCUAUGUAGUUCCUCUGACCACUUUUAAAUUGGAUUGUUCUCAUGCUACUGGGCCUUAUGAGUUCCUUUCAUAUUUUGGCUACAAAUAUAACAUAAUUGAUAGUCCAACUUGCUAAUCCUGCUCGCCAGGAGGGACUCUCCCAUUCUGAAUGCGGCUUCCAGAUAAGGGCAAAGUCUGUGGUCCCAGCACCUGAGCAUCCUCAGAGCCUUCACGACAAUUCUGCUUCCCCAGGUUUUUAUAGUCCUGGUUCCCUUCUUGUGGGUCGUAGCCCAUGAUGGCAGCAGUAGGUUUUGAUCAUCACAGAAUACACUCCUGGUGUACGUCACCUGCUUCGUUCUCUGGACCACAACUUUGCGCCCUGAGCGGCAGCUCACAACUAUGUUGCAAACAGGUCGUCAGUAUAUGUUCCUCCUCAGCCUUCACGGUGGUCACGUGGCCCCCUGGAGAGGUUAGAGCCCUGGAACUCCCACCCCUGGCCUUGAAUAGCCUCAUUCGUAUCUCACACAUAGAACACAAAUGAUCAUUUUCCACAGGUACUGGGAGAUGAAUAGGUUGGGAAGCACCUCUGAAGACUAAGAUGCAGCUUGGCUUUGGGAAUCUCGAAGCAUCCCUCACUACCUCAGUUCUGUGUGCUAGACUCUCUCUCCAGUACCCGGUUGCCAGUCCCCAGAACAACUGACCCAUCUUUAGACUUGAGACUCACUUGCUUCAUUCCCAUGGCAGAGACUGACUGGAUGGUCACCCAAACCACUUCUCUCUUGGGUUUAGACACAAACUGCAUCUCCAAGGCCCUUGCAUCCAGGCAGGGGUGUGAGGACUAACUCUGGCUGAUGGACUGUAAGUGUAAAUGAUGUAUCACUCCUGGGUUAAGACCAGUAGAGCUGUAUGGUCUACACACUUUCCUUCUAUCUUCUUUGUCCAAAGUGUCCUUUGCAGGUGUUGAAGAUGGUUACUAGAUCCCUGAAUGCCUACCGUUUGUCCAGCUGCCCCACAGCCUCUAACUGAAACAAACUUGGACUUGAAUGAAAAUAAUUAUUUUUAUUGUGUUAAGCCCUAAAACUUCAGGACUUAUCUGCUAUAAUAACUAGCAUUAUCUACAGUAAUCAGUACAAUUUCUCUAUCAUAGACAUUCAUGGUGUUAGGGGAUUAACGAUGCCACCCUAAAAUUAAUGCAUGGAAGUCCCAACCCCCAGUAUCUCUGAGUGUCAUGAUAAGUUCUUUAAAGAGGCAUUUAGUUAGAAUGAGGACAUUGGAGUGGGUUCUAAUGACAUGACGGUGCCCUUAUAGGGAAAGACAUAGACCAGAGGUGGUAGUACACAGGUGGACAACCAUGGGAAGAGGCAGCGAGAGGGUGGCCACCUGUGAGCCAAGGAGGGAGACCUCUGAGGAAACCAAGCCUGCCAGUUCUUUGACUCCCCACCGCCAGAGCUGCAGGCAAUAAAUUUCCAUUUUUUUUAAACCACCUAAUCUGUGGGAUUUUUGUUACAGCAGCUCCAGAAAACUAGUACACAUGGUCCAGUCUCUCUGUGUAUCAUUUUGUUUCCUUAUUUCCCAACAGAUGUGUUUAUUUAAAAUACGAUCAGUCCUCAAAGAUGCUGGUUUUGCCAGCUUUCCUGUCUUUGCCAUUGUUAUCUUUCAAGU
ensembl:lncRNA